rnacentral:tRNA from 1 species
GGUGGCAUGGUGAUUAAGUGCUUGGCUGCUAACCAAAAGGUCGGUGGUUCAAAUCCACCAGCCACUC